UACGUAGGGUGCGAGCGUUAUUCGGAAUUACUGGGCGUAAAGUGUGCGCAGGUGGCUUCGCAAGUCGGGUGUGAAAUCCCCGGGCUUAACCUGGGAAUUGCACUCGAAACUACGGAGCUGGAGUAUGGCAGAGGGAGGUGGAAUUCCACGUGUAGCGGUGAAAUGCGUAGAGAUGUGGAGGAACACCGAUGGCGAAGGCAGCCUCCUGGGCAAAUACUGACACUCAUGCACGAAAGCGUGGGGAGCAAACAGG
rnacentral:rRNA from 1 species